AGCGAACGUUAGCGGCGGGCCUAACACAUGCAAGUCGAACGCGAAAGGUCUUCGGACUGAGUAGAGUGGCGCACGGGUGAGUAACACGUAGGUAAUCUACCCUUUGGCGGGGGAUAACGUUCCGAAAGGAGCGCUAAUACCGCAUAAGACCACGGAGUCUCCGGACGCUGUGGGAAAAGGUGGCCUCUUCUUGAAAGCUACCACCGAAGGAAUGAGCCGUGCGUCCCAUCAGCUAGUUGGUAAGGUAAUGGCUUACCAAGGCGAAGACGGGUAGCUGGUUUGAGAGAAUGAUCAGCCACACUGGCACUGGAACACGGGCCAGACUCCUACGGGAGGCAGCAGUGAGGAAUAUUGGGCAAUGGGCGAAAAGCCUGACCCAGCACGCCGCGUGAGUGAUGAAGGCCCUCGGGUCGUAAAGCUCUGUGGAGAGGGACGAAAACCCU
rnacentral:rRNA from 1 species